rnacentral:rRNA from 1 species
ACGGGGGGGCAAGCGUUGUUCGGAAUUACUGGGCGUAAAGGGCACGUAGGUGGCCAACUAAGUCAGACGUGAAAUCCCUCGGCUUAACCGGGGAACUGCGUCUGAUACUGGUUGGCUUGAGUUUGGGAGAGGGACGCGGAAUUCCAGGUGUAGCGGUGAAAUGCGUAGAGAUCCGGAGGAACACCAGUGGCGAAGGCGACACGCUGGGCCGUACCUGACGCUAAAGCGCGACAGCAUGGGGAGCAAACGGGA